rnacentral:rRNA from 1 species
UGGGGAAUAUUGGACAAUGGGCGAAAGCCUGAUCCAGCCAUGCCGCGUGAGUGACGAAGGCCUUAGGGUUGUAAAACUCUUUCGUCGGGGACGAUAAUGACGGUACCCGAAGAAGAAGCUCCGGCUAACUUCGUGCCAGCAGCCGCGGUAAUACGAAGGGAGCUAGCGUUGUUCGGAAUCACUGGGCGUAAAGCGCACGUAGGCGGAUAGUUAAGUCAGGGGUGAAAUCCUGGGGCCCAACCCCAGAACUGCCUUUGAUACUGGCUGUCUCGAGGUCGAGAGAGGUUGGUGGAAUUCCUAGUGUAGAGGUGAAAUUCGUAGAUAUUAGGAAGAACACCAGUGGCGAAGGCGGCCAACUGGCUCGAUACUGACGCUGAGGUGCGAAAGCGUGGGGAGCAAACAGGAUUAGAUACCCACGUAGUCCCUGAGCGGGCUGGCAAGGCGCAU